rnacentral:rRNA from 1 species
AUGGUCUGCGACGAGAGCAAGGCAUUGCAGCGCAAGAAGGUAUGCGUGAUCGGAGCUGGGAUGGCCGGGCUCGCGUCAGCCCGCGAGCUGCGCCGGGAGGGCCACGACGUGACGGUGCUGGAGCAGAACGCCGACGUGGGCGGGCAGUGGCUGUACGACCCUAGGGGCGGCGGCGCCGACGACCCGCUCGGCGCCGCGGAGCCGGUGAAGGUGCACAGCAGCUUGUACGCGUCCCUCCGCGUCAUCAGCGCCAGGGAGAACAUGGGCUUCACCGACUUCCACUUUGCGCCCAAGGCUGGCCGUGACGGCCGCCGCUUCCCGGGCCACGGCGAGGUGCAGCUGUACCUUAAGGACUUCUGCGACGCGUUCGGGCUCAUGGAGGCGGUCCGGCUCAACACGCGUGUCCUGCGCGUCGCCAUGGCGGUGGCACCGACGCGGCAGUGGAUGGUGAGGUCCGUACACGAGGGCACGGAGGAGGAGGAGGAGGAGGUAUUCGACGCCGUUGUCGUGGCCAACGGCCACUACUCGCAGCCGAGGCUGCCAAGCAUCCAGGGCAUGGAGGCGUGGAGGGGGAGGCAAAUCCACAGCCACUCGUACAGGGUGCCGGAGCCGUUCCGCGGCGACGUGGUGGUGGUGGUCGGGUGCGGGGCGAGCGGCAAGGACAUCGCCAUGGAGGUCCGCGGGGUCGCCAAGGAGGUGCACCUCGUGGCCAAGUCCAUGGAGGAGGUCACCCCAGGGCUCGCCAAAGUGCUCGCCAAGCAUAGCGCCAACCUGCACCUGCAACUGCACGUGGAGCGUCUGUGCGAGGACGGGCGGGUGGUGUUCGGCGGCGGCGGCUCCGGCGUCCUCGCCGACACCAUCAUCUACUGCACAGGGUACAAUUACUCUUUCCCGUUCCUGGACACGGCGGGGGCGGUCACCGUCGAGGACAACCGCGUCGGCCCGCUGUUCGAGCACGUGUUCCCGCCGUCGCUGGCGCCGUCGCUCUCCUUCGUCGGCAUACCCAUAAAGGUGUUUGCGCCAUGGUUCUUCGAGGCUCAGGCGAAAUGGGUGGCGCAGGUGCUGUCCGGGAGGAGGACGUUGCCGCCGGAGCAGGAGAUGAUGCGGUCCGUGGAGGAGUAUUACCGUGCCAGGGAGAUCGCCGGCGUGCCCAAGAAGUACAUCCACGACGUCUGCUUGUCUGAGACCAUGCCCACGUACAUGGAUGAGUUCGGAAGCAAGUACUGUGACUUCCCUCGCGUGGAGAGAUGGCAUCACGAGUUGGUUGUGUCGUUGUUUGCCAACAUGAACGACAAUCUCGAGACCUUCCGCGACGACUACCAUGACAGCGACUCCAUCCGCAAGGGUGUGGAAGAGUGGCACUUGUCGGCCCAACAGACCCAAGCUGCUCCUGCUGCUAAAAAGAUGUCGCUUGGUCUUUCACGAACAAGCACAGUGGUCUGUGCACACCCUUCGUGA